rnacentral:lncRNA from 1 species
UAAAAUCAAGGAAAACAGGUAACAUAGUUUGGCUGAAUAGCAAAUUAUUUGAGAGGGGGAAAAGCAAAUAUACGUAUCCACUAAAAAAAAACAAACAAAAACUAAUAUCAUUAUAAAAAGAGUUUUAAAAAAAGGAGAACAAAAAAUAUAGAGAUCACAACAUCAAAUAACUUUUUCAAUAAAUAUGUUCUGGAGAAAGGGAUGACAACAGUUGUCUUGUGUUCAUUUGCCCCACAAAAAGAGACCACAACGUCAAUAAACAAGUUGACUUCAACGCCAGUGACUGAGGAGGUAUGGUGGAGAGAACCAGGGGAGCAGCAAAAUCUCUGUAGAACAUAGAAGCCCAGGAUAACACCAUAGAGAGGGGAAUAAGACAUCCCACCCCUGCCACACUGUCUCCCCUGAUAGGAUUGGCUCAGUGGUGGGAGGACUUAUUUUAGGAAAAAGAUAAGCUGGAGAUCCCUCUUGGUCCCCAUUUCUACCAUGGACACAAGACAACCUUUCUACAGGAGAGACCCACUGUCCUCACAGCCCCUAAAUCCAGUUUGGAGAGUUCUUAAAAGUUUACACCAUGCAUCCCCCACUCUCAUGAUCUAAAAAUUAUACUUUUUUAUAUAUGUAUGCAUACAUAUAUAAUUUUUAUAUAUGUAUGCAUACAUAUAUAAUUUUUAUAUGUAUGCAUACAAUAUAAUUUUUUAUAUAUUGUAUGCAUACAUAUACUGUUUUAUAUAUGUAUGCAUACAUAUAUACUUUUUUGUAUGUACACAUACACAUAUAAUUUUUUAUAUAUGCAUGCAUACAUAUAUGAUUUUUAUAUAGGCAUGCAUACAUAUAUAAUUUUUUAUAUAUGCAUGCAUAUAUAAAUGCAUAUAACUUUUUAUAUAUGUAUGCAUACAUAACUUUUUAUAUAUGUAUGCAUACAUAACUUUUUAUAUAUGUAUGCAUACAUAACUUUUAUAUAUGUAUGCAUACAUAACUUUUUAUAUAUGUAUGCAUACAUAUAUAACUUUUUAUAUAUGUAUGCAUACAUAUAUAACUUUUUAUAUAUGUAAGCAUACAUAUAUAACUUUUUAUAUAUGUAUGCAUACAUAUAUAACUUUUUAUAUAUGUAUGCUUACAUAUAUAACUUGUUAUAUAUGUAAGCAUACAUAUAUGAUUUUUAUAUAGGCAUGCAUACAUAUAUAACUUUUUAUAUAUGUAAGCAUACAUA